rnacentral:rRNA from 1 species
UACGUAGGGUGCGAGCGUUAAUCGGAAUUACUGGGCGUAAAGCGUGCGCAGGCGGUUUUGUAAGCCAGAUGUGAAAUCCCCGGGCUUAACCUGGGAAUGGCAUUUGGGACUGCAAGGCUUGAGUGCGGCAGAGGAGACUGGAAUUCCCGGUGUAGCAGUGAAAUGCGUAGAGAUGUGGAGGAAUACCGAUGGCGAAGGCAGCCCCCUGGGCCAAUACUGACGCUCAUGCACGAAAGCGUGGGGAGCAAACAGG